UUAUAAGAAUCGCCACAUUCAUUCACGGACCAAUUUUAUACUGAUUUCCAAGCCCGCCUAAAUAAUUGAUGAAAUUUUGGCGCUCCGAAUUUCACGGCACCAAUUCUAUAUUGAUUUUAGAAUUUUAUUCAUGGAAAUCAACUUUCACAUAUCAUUUGUGAAAUUUUGGCGCUUCGAAAACACCGAUUGUGGGUUUUCCAUUUUUAGUACAUCUCGAACCGAAUAGGUUUCUGAAAGCAAGAAAAGUCGAUAUCGAGAAAAGAAAGCAUAUGCGGGCUGAUAUGACACAGUGGAGAAAGGAUCUCGGUAUUAACAAGAAAUGAUUAAUUUCUGAAAUAAUAAAAUAGCUGGACGAUCUUUUGAAGUAUUAAUCAUGGAGCACAAGAGGCAAGACGUGUUUACAUUGCAAGUUACAUCCAUGGAUCAUUACACAAAGUAUCAUAUGGGUAAUGUACAUUUUACUGGCAUGUUUUAUAUGACUGCCAUGAUUGCCGCCUAACGUGAGACCAUAUGUGAGCGUCUCAUCACCGUCAUAGAUCGGCGUCGUGUACCACCAUUGGAACCUGUCAAUGUUUCUUCAAUUACCGAGCAGCUUUAAACAAAUUUAGUGCUAAGGAGGCAUACUUGGCAUUGUGGGACUCUCUCGUAGAGGGCGAUAUACAAAGAACAGUUAUAUGAAUCUAGAUGUUGCAAUAUGGGGAAAGAUGGUGAUGUGGCUCUCUAUUUUGGACUAUCAGAUAACGUUCAUGAAGUGAAAAGGGAAGAGGCUAGCAACAGUAGCGAGUUGAAAGAAAGCCUUUGCAGAAAACAGAUUGAAUGGCAAGAGAAGACAUACAAUCUGAGCAGGAUUAUAAAAUGGACGAGUUGGAAGACAAAUUAUUAAGACACAGUACCAAGUCAUCUCCUGAACAAGCAGAAUAAGCUUCAGAAUAGAUAGCAAAGGCAAUCAUUGCUCAUUAAGAAAUCUGAUGACGAAGACGAUGUUGGGAAUUAAAUGAGUAAUAACUUUGACCCAGAAGUUUUAGCACCGCUACGAGAGAAAAAGUAAUGCAGUCAAAAUUAGCAACUAUGCUACUAGCCGGAGCAACGAAGAUAAGAGGACCGGUUCCUCGUGCAACCUACGAAGACUAUUUGUAUUGUAUUACCUAGUUUGUGGAUGUAAAUGUAUGAAAUCUUCUUUAUGGAAUCUGUUCUUACUUUAUCAAAUAAUUUGCAGUGUAUUUUAACUAUUUCAUGAUUGCAAAUAUAUAUAUAUAUGAUACAUUUGAGUUAAA